UACGGAGGAUCCAAGCGUUAUCCGGAAUCAUUGGGUUUAAAGGGUCCGUAGGCGGCUUAAUAAGUCAGUGGUGAAAUCCCUACGCUUAACGUAGGAACGGCCAUUGAUACUGUUAGGCUUGAAUUAUUAGGAAGUAACUAGAAUAUGUAGUGUAGCGGUGAAAUGCUUAGAGAUUACAUGGAAUACCAAUUGCGAAGGCAGGUUACUACUAAUUGGUUGACGCUGAUGGACGAAAGGGGGGGUAGCGAACAGAAUUAGAUACACUGGUAGUCCACGCCGUAAACGAUGGAUACUAGCUGUUGGGAGCAAUCUCAGUGGCUAAGCGAAAGUGAUAAGUAUCCCACCUGGGGAGUACGUUCGCAAGAAUG
rnacentral:rRNA from 1 species